rnacentral:lncRNA from 1 species
CAAGUUGUUUUAUUUAGGACAAAUCUGCAAGAUGCUGGCAAAUCUUGCACUGGAUGGCUAUUCAAAAGACUUUCGUUCUUCCCACAGGUGUAAAUCUCCAUGGCUCGGCUAGUACUGCAUGCUUUUCUUCUCUUAAGGAUCUUAUUACUUCUGCCUUGUGCCAGUCGACUUGUAUAUCAUUCUCGUAUGCACAUAUUGCUAAGGCUGUACUCAUUUUUCUGUUAGCGAGAUCCCUUUUAUGUUCAUUCAAACUUUGGCCAAAUGUCCUAGUCAUUACUCCUAUGUACGUUUCCUUUCUGCAUGUGUCG